rnacentral:rRNA from 1 species
AUGGCCGCACCUUUUCUGCUCGUUCUUCUGCUCGUCGUUUCUGGAGGCGCUGCAGCGGGCGGCGACGGCGAGGCAGGGCUGACCAGGCUCGCGCUCCGAGGCAUCGACGACCCGGGCCGUAGGCACGGGCCCUUCGCGCUGGAGGAGCCGGAGUUCAUGCCCGAGAUCUCCACGCACGACGACGAGGCGGGCGAAGCUCCCCAGCUUGAGUUCCGAGGCAUCGACGACUCAGGCCGUGGGCACGCGUCCGACGCGCCGGACGAGCCGGUGUUCAUGGCCCACCUCGACGACGAGCCGGGCGAAGCGCCCCGGCUCAAGUUCCGGGGCAUCGACGGCUCGGGCAUAGACGAGGAGCCUGUGCUCAUGGACGACGACGAAGCGCCCGGGCUCGAGUUCCGAGGCAUCGACGACUCCGGCCAUGGGCGCGCAUCCGACGCGCCGGAGGAGCGGGCGUUCACGGACGUUAUCUCCACGGGCGGCGCCUGCGACCACUUCGCCCGCCUCGUCGCCGAGACGGGGAACGCGAGCCAGCUCUUCUGGGAGCGCGCCGCGGGCGCCGGCGGCCUCACGGUGUUCUGCCCCGAAGACAAAGCCCUGGCCGAGUUCGAGCCGAAGUUCCGAAGCCUCGGCGCCGACGACCGGCUCGCCGUCCUGCUGUACCACGGCGCGGCGACCACCUACGGCAGGAAGUUGUUCCAGGCGUUCGACUGGGUGUCGGUGAGCUCGCUGGCCACCGACGCGGCCACCAACAAGAGCCACGCCAUCACCGUCCGCGACGACGGGGACACGGUGUGGCUGUGGCCGUCGUGCAGGAGUGGCGCUGGGGCCAGGGUGACCAAGACGGUGUCCGAAGAAGCUCCCCUCGCCGUCUACGUCGUCGACGCCGUGCUGCUGCCGAACCACCUGCGACAGAAGCUGGAUGGCGGCGACGGGCCGGCUGCUGCGUGCGAGCCGUCCGGUGGCUAUUUCGGCUGGCUGCACUGCUGCAUCCCGGUCUGGGAAGUGAUAGUCAUGGCCGUGGCGAGCAUCGCGGGCUUCCUGGCCGGGUUUCUUCUUCAUGAUGCAGUCGACAAGAUGAGCAACAAGGCCAAUUUAUCUGGUUAA